rnacentral:tRNA from 1 species
GCAUGGGUAGCUCAACUGGAUAGAGCAACAGCCUUCUAAGCUGUGGAUUGCAGGUUCAAAUCCUGCCCUGUGCG